UACAGAGGGGGCAAGCGUUGUUCGGAAUUACUGGGCGUAAAGGGCGCGUAGGCGGCCAACUAAGUCAGACGUGAAAUCCCUCGGCUUAACCGGGGAACUGCGUCUGAUACUGGAUGGCUUGAGUUUGGGAGAGGGAUGCGGAAUUCCAGGUGUAGCGGUGAAAUGCGUAGAUAUCUGGAGGAACACCGGUGGCGAAGGCGGCAUCCUGGACCAACACUGACACUGAGGAGCGAAAGCCAGGGGAGCAAACGGG
rnacentral:rRNA from 1 species